rnacentral:rRNA from 1 species
GAUGAACGCUAGCUACAGGCUUAACACAUGCAAGUCGAGGGGAAACGAUAUUGGAAGCUUGCUUCCGAUAGGCGUCGACCGGCGCACGGGUGAGUAACGCGUAUCCAACCUGCCCACCACUUGGGGAUAACCUUGCGAAAGUAAGACUAAUACCCAAUGAUAUCUCUAGAAGACAUCUGAAGGAGAUUAAAGAUUCAUCGGUGAUGGAUGGGGAUGCGUCUGAUUAGCUUGUUGGCGGGGUAACGGCCCACCAAGGCGACGAUCAGUAGGGGUUCUGAGAGGAAGGUCCCCCACAUUGGAACUGAGACACGGUCCAAACUCCUACGGGAGGCAGCAGUGAGGAAUAUUGGUCAAUGGGCGAGAGCCUGAACCAGCCAAGUAGCGUGCAGGAUGACGGCCCUGUGGGUUGUAAACUGCUUUUAUAAGGGAAUAAAGUGAGUCUCGUGAGACUUUUUGCAUGUACCUUGUGAAUAAGGACCGGCUAAUUCCGUGCCAGCCGCCGCGGUAA